GCGGCGAUGGUGGAAUUUGGUAGACACGCCAGCUUGAGGUGCUGGUGCCGCAAGGUAUGGAAGUUCAAGUCUUCUUCGCCGCA
rnacentral:tRNA from 1 species